ACUCGAGUGGCGAACGGGUGAGUAACACGUGGGUGAUCUGCCUUGCACUUCGGGAUAAGCCUGGGAAACUGGGUCUAAUACCGGAUAGGACCAUGCUUUAGUGUGUGUGGUGGAAAGUUUUUCGGUGCAAGAUGAGCCCGCGGCCUAUCAGCUUGUUGGUGGGGUAAUGGCCUACCAAGGCGUCGACGGGUAGCCGGCCUGAGAGGGUGUACGGCCACAUUGGGACUGAGAUACGGCCCAG
rnacentral:rRNA from 1 species